rnacentral:rRNA from 1 species
UACAGAGGUCUCAAGCGUUGUUCGGAUUCAUUGGGCGUAAAGGGUGCGUAGGUGGCGCGGUAAGUCGGGUGUGAAAUUUCGGAGCUUAACUCCGAAACUGCAUUCGAUACUGCCGUGCUUGAGGACUGGAGAGGAGACUGGAAUUUACGGUGUAGCGGUGAAAUGCGUAGAUAUCGUAAGGAAGACCAGUGGCGAAGGCGGGUCUCUGGACAGUUCCUGACGCUGAUGCACGAAGGCCAGGGGAGCAAACGGG